AUUGAACGCUAGCGGCAUGCUUUACACAUGCAAGUCGAACGGUAACAGGGAGCUUGCUCCGCUGACGAGUGGCGAACGGGUGAGUAAUGCGUCGGAACGUGCCGAGUAGUGGGGGAUAACGCAUCGAAAGGUGUGCUAAUACCGCAUACGUACUGAGGUAGAAAGUGGGGGACCUUCGGGCCUCACGCUAUUCGAGCGGCCGACGUCUGAUUAGCUAGUUGGUGAAGUAAAGGCACACCAAGGCGACGAUCAGUAGCGGGUCUGAGAGGAUGAGCCGCCACACUGGGACUGCGACACGGCCCAGACUCCUACGGGAGUCAGCAGAGGGGAAUUUUGGACAAUGGGCGCAAGCCUGAUCCAGCCAUGCCGCGUGUCUGAAGAAGGCCUUCGGGUUGUAAAGGACUUUUGUCCGGGAGCAAAUGCUGUUGGCUAACAUCCACCGGAGCUGAGAGUACCGGAAGAAUAAGCACCGGCUAACUACGUGCCAGCCGCCGCAGUAAUAC
rnacentral:rRNA from 1 species